UUUAGCGUACAUGUUAGGAUUGGGGUAUGCAGUGCUCAAACAGAUCAGCAAGGUGUUGGGGAUUCCUGGCCUGCAUCUUAAAACUUACCAGAGACAUGACAAGACAGUGACAGGACAGGGAUAGUUGGUGCACUGUCUGCCAGUCUAAAGCACCAUCUUGAGAUCCAUCGAGAAAUGGUUUUGAAGCCAAUUGGACAGUUUAAACCAGGACCAUGGUUCUUCAGUGAAACCAGGGAAUAGAUUUUUGCAGGAGCAAUGGAAUCAUCCUCAUCUCAUUCCCCCCAUUCAAGCUGCAGCCACUAGGACGGAGUGUAUAUUGGCCUCUGAAGAGGCACG